UGCGCUCAAUGAGACCGAAUAAUACCUA
rnacentral:sRNA from 1 species